GAUUGACCUCGGAUCAGUAGGGAUACCCGCUGACUUAGCAUAUCAUAGCGGAGGAAAGAAACCAACAGGGAUUGC
rnacentral:rRNA from 1 species